rnacentral:rRNA from 1 species
AUCCUGGCUCAGAUUGAACGCUGGCGGCAUGCCUUACACAUGCAAGUCGAACGGCAGCACGGGGGCAACCCUGGUGGCGAGUGGCGAACGGGUGAGUAAUACAUCGGAACGUGUCCUGUAGUGGGGGAUAGCCCGGCGAAAGCCGGAUUAAUACCGCAUACGAUCUACGGAAGAAAGCGGGGGAUCCUUCGGGACCUCGCGCUAUAGGGGCGGCCGAUGGCAGAUUAGCUAGUUGGUGGGGUAAAGGCCUACCAAGGCGACGAUCUGUAGCUGGUCUGAGAGGACGACCAGCCACACUGGGACUGAGACACGGCCCAGACUCCUACGGGAGGCAGCAGUGGGGAAUUUUGGACAAUGGGGGAAACCCUGAUCCAGCAAUGCCGCGUGUGUGAAGAAGGCCUUCGGGUUGUAAAGCACUUUUGUCCGGAAAGAAAACUUCUGCCCUAAUACGGUGGGAGGAUGACGGUACCGGAAGAAUAGCAC